rnacentral:rRNA from 1 species
UACAGAGGGUGCGAGCGUUGUUCGGAAUUAUUGGGCGUAAAGGGCGCGUAGGCGGUGCGGUAAGUCACCUGUGAAAUCUCCUGGCUCAACUGGGAGCUUGCAGGCGAAACUGCCGUGCUGGAGUGUGGGAGAGGUGCGUGGAAUUCCCGGUGUAGCGGUGAAAUGCGCAGAUAUCAGGAAGAACACCUAUGGCGAAGGCAGCUCUCUGGGACGGUACUGACGCUGAGACGCGAAAGCGUGGGGAGCGAACAGG